UACGGAGGUGGCGAGCGUUAUCCGGAUUCAUUGGGCGUAAAGGGCGCGUAGGUGUCUCCAUAAGUCGGAUGUGAAAUCCUUCUGCUCAACAGAAGAAUGGCAUUCGAAACUGUGGAGAUUGAGUACAGAAGAGGAGAGUGGAAUUCCUGGUGUAGCGGUGAAAUGCGUAGAUAUCAGGAGGAACACCGGUGGCGAAGGCGACUCUCUGGUCUGAUACUGACACUGAGGCGCGAAAGCUAGGGGAGCAAACAGGAUUAGAUACCCCUGUA
rnacentral:rRNA from 1 species